rnacentral:rRNA from 1 species
AUUGAACGCUGGCGGCAGGCUUAACACAUGCAAGUCGAGCGAGCGGCGGACGGGUGAGUAAUGUAUCGGGACGUGCCCGGUAGAGGGGGAUAACUACUCGAAAGGGUGGCUAAUACCGCAUACUAUUGGAGCGACCGAUAUGGGAUUAGCUAGUAGGUGGGGUAAAGGCUCACCAAGGCCACGAUCCGUAGCUGGUGUGAGAGGAUGACCAGCCACACUGGGACUGAGACACGGCCCAGACUCCUACGGGAGGCAGCAGUGGGGAAUUUUGGACAAUGGGGGAAAGCCUGAUCCAGCCAUGCCGCGUGUAUGAAGAAGGCCUUAGGGUUGUAAAGUACGUUCAGCAGGGAAGCGUUACCCGCAGAAGAAGCACCGGCUAACUACGUGCCAGCAGCCGCGGUAAUAC